rnacentral:lncRNA from 1 species
UACGACAGGUGGUGCCCUCUGGUUGGGACACGACCUGCGCGUGACCGGACUGAACUGGAACCUGGACAGGAACGUGACCCGACUGAACUGGAACCUGGACAGGAACGUGACCCGACUGAACUGGAACCUGGACAGGAACGUGACCCCACUGAACUGGAACCUGGACAGGAACGUGACCCGACUGAACUGGAGACUGGACAGGAACGUGACCCGACUGAACUGGAGACUGGACAGCUCGCGGCUGGACUGGAGACUGGACAGCUCGCGGCUGGACUGGAGACUGGACAGCUCGCGGCUGGACUGGAGACUGGACAGCUCGCGGCUGGACUGGAGACUGAACUGGGCUCGGCUGGACUGGAGACUGAACUGGGCUCGGCUGGACUGGAGACUGAACUGGGCUCGGCUGGACUGGAGACUGAACUGGGCUCGGCUGGGCUGGAGACUGAACUGGGCUCGGCUGGGCUGGAGACUGAACUGGGCUCGGCUGGGCUGGAGACUGAACUGGGCUCGACUGGGCUGGAGACUGAACUGGGCUCGACUGGGCUGGAGACUGAACUGGGCUCGACUGGGCUGGAGACUGAACUGGGCUCGACUGGGCUGGAGACUGAACUGGGCUCGACUGGACUGGAGACUGAACAGGGCUCGACUGGACUGGAGACUGAACAGGGCUCGACUGGACUGGGGCUGGAACCUGAACGUGACAGGGCUGCACUAGAGCGUGAGCGUGGCGAGGCUGAACGGCGACUGGAGCCUGAGCGGAGCAUGACUGAGCUGGGGACUGGGCAAAACACGACUGAGCUGGGGACUGGGCAAAACACGACUGAGCUGGGGACUGAACAGCUCGCGUCUGAACUGGAGACGGGGGACCGCAUGAAUGCAGGGAAUCCUCCCAGCGGAACAAACAUGGAGCUGGGCAGGUUGAUGCAGACACAACGGUCCGACGGGGCGGGGAGAAGGAAACCGAAACCUUCGGCGGUGCGACCGGCGCUGGCGUGGUGCGGAGCGCGACGCUUAGUUCAUCAGACCUUGCGCACAGCCGCUCAUAGAGGCGACGAACACUGGGACGCUCUAACACACUGUCAUCGUCCUCCAGCGUCAAUAUCGCCACCUCCACGGCGCUGCGCUGGUUCUUCGGGGUAA